ACACAUGCAAGUCGAGGGGAAACGACAUCGAAAGCUUGCUUUUGAUGGGCGUCGACCGGCGCACGGGUGAGUAACGCGUAUCCAACCUGCCCACCACUUGGGGAUAACCUUGCGAAAGUAAGACUAAUACCCAAUGACGUCUCUAGAAGACAUCUGAAAGGGAUUAAAGAUUUAUCGGUGAUGGAUGGGGAUGCGUCUGAUUAGCUUGUUGGCGGGGUAACGGCCCACCAAGGCGACGAUCAGUAGGGGUUCUGAGAGGAAGGUCCCCCACAUUGGAACUGAGACACGGUCCAAACUCCUACGGGAGGCAGCAGUGAGGAAUAUUGGUCAAUGGGCGAGAGCCUGAACCAGCCAAGUAGCGUGCAGGAUGACGGCCCUAUGGGUUGUAAACUGCUUUUAUAAGGGAAUAAAGUGAGUCUCGUGAGACUUUUUGCAUGUACCUUAUGAAUAAGGACCGGCUAAUUCCGUGCCAGCAGCCGCGGUAAUACGGAAGGUCCGGGCGUUAUCCGGAUUUAUUGGGUUUAAAGGGAGCGUAGGCCGGAGAUUAAGCGUGUUGUGAAAUGUAGACGCUCAACGUCUGCACUGCAGCGCGAACUGGUUUCCUUGAGUACGCACAAAGUGGGCGGAAUUCGUGGUGUAGCGGUGAAAUGCUUAGAUAUCACGAAGAACUCCGAUUGCGAAGGCAGCUCACUGGAGCGCAACUGACGCUGAAGCUCGAAAGUGCGGGUAUCGAACAGGAUUAGAUACCCUGGUAGUCCGCACGGUAAACGAUGGAUGCCCGCUGUUGGUCUGAAUAGGUCAGCGGCCAAGCGAAAGCAUUAAGCAUCCCACCUGGGAAGUACGCCGGCAACGGUGAAACUCAAAGGAAUUGACGGGGGCCCGCACAAGCGGAGGAACAUGUGGUUUAAUUCGAUGAUACGCGAGGAACCUUACC
rnacentral:rRNA from 1 species